CCUACGUGUGGCAGCAGUGGGGAAUAUUGGACAAUGGGCGAAAGCCUGAUCCAGCCAUGCCGCGUGUGUGAAGAAGGCCUUCGGGUUGUAAAGCACUUUCAGUGGGGAAGAAAGCCUUGGGGCUAAUACCCUCGAGGAAGGACAUCACCCACAGAAGAAGCACCGGCUAACUCCGUGCCAGCAGCCGCGGUAAUACGGAGGGUGCGAGCGUUAAUCGGAAUUACUGGGCGUAAAGCGCGCGUAGGCGGUCUGAUAAGCCGGUUGUGAAAGCCCCGGGCUCAACCUGGGAACGGCAUCCGGAACUGUCAGGCUAGAGUGCAGGAGAGGAAGGUAGAAUUCCCGGUGUAGCGGUGAAAUGCGUAGAGAUCGGGAGGAAUACCAGUGGCGAAGGCGGCCUUCUGGACUGACACUGACGCUGAGGUGCGAAAGCGUGGGUAGCAAACAGGAUUAGAUACCCCUGUAGUC
rnacentral:rRNA from 1 species